AAGAGCUCGCGCCUGAUUAGCUAGUUGGUAGGGUAAAGGCCUACCAAGGCGACGAUCAGUAGCUGGUUUGAGAGGACGAUCAGCCACACUGGGACUGAGACACGGCCCAGACUCCUACGGGAGGCAGCAGUGGGGAAUUUUCCGCAAUGGGCGCAAGCCUGACGGAGCAAUACCGCGUGAGGGAUGAAGGCCUGUGGGUUGUAAACCUCUUUUCUCAAGGAAGAAGUUCUGACGGUACUUGAGGAAUAAGCAUCGGCUAACUCUGUGCCAGCAGCCGCGGUAAUACAGAGGAUGCAAGCGUUAUCCGGAAUUAUUGGGCAUAAAGCGUCUGUAGGUUGUUUGGUAAGUCUGUUGUUAAAGACUAGGGCUUAACCCUAGAAAAGCAAUGGAAACUGCUAUACUUGAGUGUGGUAGAGGUAGAGGGAAUUCCUAGUGUAGCGGUGAAAUGCGUAGAUAUUAGGAAGAACACCAAUGGCGAAAGCACUUUACUGGGCCAUAACUGACACUGAGAGACGACAG
rnacentral:rRNA from 1 species